rnacentral:rRNA from 1 species
AUUGAACGCUGGCGGCAUGCCUUACACAUGCAAGUCGAACGGCAGCACGGGGGCAACCCUGGUGGCGAGUGGCGAACGGGUGAGUAAUACAUCGGAACGUGUCCUGUAGUGGGGGAUAGCCCGGCGAAAGCCGGAUUAAUACCGCAUACGCUCUACGGAGGAAAGGGGGGGAUCUUAGGACCUCCCGCUACAGGGGCGGCCGAUGGCAGAUUAGCUAGUUGGUGGGGUAAAGGCCUACCAAGGCGACGAUCUGUAGCUGGUCUGAGAGGACGACCAGCCACACUGGGACUGAGACACGGCCCAGACUCCUACGGGAGGCAGCAGUGGGGAAUUUUGGACAAUGGGCGAAAGCCUGAUCCAGCAAUGCCGCGUGUGUGAAGAAGGCCUUCGGGUUGUAAAGCACUUUUGUCCGGAAAGAAAAACGCCGU